rnacentral:lncRNA from 1 species
CAGAACCACUAACGUGAUGCAGAUGGGGGCCUUUAAGAGCAUCUGAUGCGACUUAGUUGUCUAAGGAGGAAACUAAUGUUGGAACUACAAUGGGGGCACUGAAGAGUUUGAUGGCUCACAGGCAGUUAGGAAGAGAUUCUGAAUUCCUGAGGCUGAGCCCAGAACUUUCCAUAGCCUGAGAUUCUGAAAAAGGGCCACCACGGCACACCAAACAAUCCAGAUGUUCCUGCUGCCUAGUGAUUUGGCUGGGUGAUGGCCCUCAUAUCUCAGUGUUCAAGGAAGACCAUGCUUGGGUGCGCGGCAGGCACAUUCAAGCAACUGUGAUGCUUUGUGGGAGGCCUCAGCAGGCACAUCAGGGAUAAAACAUCUUUGACAUUGUGAUUAACAAAUACUCUGUCAACACAAGAAAAGGUGGCGUGUGUCUGAUCUCACUUGCCUUUUAGAGUGAGCAGUAUCUUCUGAGUUGGCCACUGGAACACAGUUUCUCUCUAAGCAUGAGUCAGUGGCUCACUUCAGGCUACACCCGAACAGUGUCAGCAGCACGAAGAUGUGUCAGACUUCUCAGAAUCCUGUGGAACAGAGCAGACAGGAGCUGAAGGGAGCAACUUUCAAACAGAUGAAGAGCAGUGUGGAACCUGGGAUGAAUCAUAAUGUAUUCCGUCUCUUUUAGAGCCC